AUUGAACGCUGGCGGCAGGCUUAACACAUGCAAGUCGAGCGGAGAUGAGGUGCUUGCACCUUAUCUUAGCGGCGGACGGGUGAGUAAUGCUUAGGAAUCUGCCUAUUAGUGGGGGACAACAUUCCGAAAGGAAUGCUAAUACCGCAUACGUCCUACGGGAGAAAGCAGGGGCUCUUCGGACAUUGCGCUAAUAGAUGAGCCUAAGUCGGAUUAGCUAGUUGGUGGGGUAAAGGCCUACCAAGGCGACGAUCUGUAGCGGGUCUGAGAGGAUGAUCCGCCACACUGGGACUGAGACACGGCCCAGACUCCUACGGGAGGCAGCAGUGGGGAAUAUUGGACAAUGGGGGGAACCCUGAUCCAGCCAUGCCGCGUGUGUGAAGAAGGCCUUAUGGUUGUAAAGCACUUUAAGCGAGGAGGAGGCUACUGAGACUAAUACUCUUGGAUAGUGGACGUUACUCGCAGAAUAAGCACCGGCUAACUCUGUGCCAGCCGCCGCGGUAAUAC
rnacentral:rRNA from 1 species